UACCUGCAGCUCGAGUGGUAACCGCUAUUAUUGGGCCUAAAGCGUCCGUAGCCGGUUUGGUAAAUAUCUGGGUAAAUCGUGAGGCUUAACUUCACGAAUUUCGGAUAGACUGCCAGACUUGGGAUCGGGGGAGGUCAGAGGUACUCCAGGGGUAGCGGUGAAAUGUUGUAAUCCUUGGAGGACCACCGGUAGCGAAGGCGUCUGACUAGAACGAGUCCGACGGUGAGGGACGAAGCCCUGGGGCGCAAACCGGAUUAGAUACCCGGGUAGUCCAGGGUGUGAACAAUGUGGGCUUUGUAUUGGAGGUCCCACGUGGGCGUCCAGUGCAGAAGAGAAGUUGUUAAGCCCACCGCCUGGGAAGUACGGUCGCAAGGCUGAAACUUAAAGGAAUUGGGCGGGGGAGCACAGCGAACGGGAGGAGCGUGCGGUUU
rnacentral:rRNA from 1 species